GGGUGUAUAGCUCAGUUGGUAGAGCAGCUGACUCUUAAUCAGCGGGUCCACGGUUCGAGCCCGUGUACACCCACCA
rnacentral:tRNA from 1 species